AGGAUAAACGCUGGCGGCGUGCCUAACACAUGCAAGUCGAACGCGCUUUCGGGCUUCGGUGCGAGAGCGAGUGGCGGACGGGUGAGUAACACAUGGGUACCUGCCUUUCAGUGAGGGAUACCGGCGAGAAAUCGCCGACAAUACCGCAUGGGCUUGUGGGAACACAAGCAAAGUGGCGCAAGCCACGCUGGAAGAUGGGCCUGUGGCCGAUUAGCUAGUUGGGGGGUAACGGCCUCCCAAGGCGACGAUCGGUAGCUGGUCUGAGAGGACGAUCAGCCACACUGGGAUUGAGAACGGCCCAGACUCCUACGGGGGCAGCAGUGAGGAAUUUUCCGCAAUGGACGAAAGUCUGACGGAGCAACGCCGCGUGCAGGAGGAAGGUUUUCGGAUCGUAAACUGCUUUUCUCGGGGACGAGCAAGGACGGUACCCGAGGAAGAAGCCCCGGCUAACUACGUGCCAGCAGCCGC
rnacentral:rRNA from 1 species